CCCUCAUUGAUUCAUGCUUGAGCUUUAACAACACAACUAAAAUAUCCCUUGGCACACCUGGAAUUCAUCCAGUAUCUGAGAGGCUUAGAAAACAAACAGGUAUCUUUUGGUCCUGGUGCUCUCAAACUGCAUUACCCAAUGCUAUAACCACUAGCCAUAUAUGGCUGUUUAAAUUUUAAUUCAUUAAAAUUAAAUUAUCUGUGUGCAGUGGUGCACGCCUGUAGUUCCAGCACUCAGGAGGCUGAGAUGUGAGGGUCACUGGAGCCCAGGAGUUCAAGAUCCCCCUGAAUAACACAGUGAGACUCUUUUUCUAGAAAGAAAGAAAGAAAGAAAGAAAGAAAGAAAGAAAGAAAGAAAGAAAGAAAGAAAGAAAGAAAGAAAGAAAGAAAGAAAGAAAGAAAGAAAGAAAGAAAGAAAGAAAGAAAGAAAGGGAAAAAUGGGAAGGAAGGAAGGAAGGAAGGAGAAAUUAGAGGUUCUAUUCUUCAUUUGCACAAGCCACAUUUCAGAUGCUUGAUAGUGGGAUGUAGUCAGUGGCUACAACAUUGUACCACACAAAUAUAGGACUUUUCUAUAAUUACAGAAAAUUGUCCAAAGUAUUGGAUAAUACUGCUCCAGGAACUUAUCAACAGUUAGGUCUUUUUUUUGAGAAAUACAUAUUUAAUGUUAUUUAUGGCAACUGAUGUUAUAUUAGCUACAGGGUUUUGUAUCUAUUUAAUAGUUAUCAUGCAUAAGGAUUUUCCUCAUCAUUUAUUCAUUCAGUGAAACACUUAGUUCCUAAUAUGUGCUUUAAAAAGUUCUAACAAGUGUGUAUGCAAUAAAAAAUGACAGCUCCUAUAUAGCUACUUGGUCAUCGGCACCAUGAUAUGGAAAAAAAAAAACAAAACAAAACGGUUUAAGCAGCAUAAAGAGACCAAAA
rnacentral:lncRNA from 1 species